UAGCCUACGGGGGGCAGCAGUGAGGAAUAUUGGUCAAUGGCCGGAAGGCUGAACCAGCCAAGUCGCGUGAGGGAAUAAGGCCCUAUGGGUCGUAAACCUCUUUUGUCAGGGAGCAAAGGCGUCCACGUGUGGACGAGAGGAGAGUACCUGAAGAAAAAGCAUCGGCUAACUCCGUGCCAGCAGCCGCGGUAAUACGGAGGAUGCGAGCGUUAUCCGGAUUUAUUGGGUUUAAAGGGUGCGUAGGCGGAGUGUCAAGUCAGCGGUAAAAUGUCCGGGCUCAACCCGGGCCGGCCGUUGAAACUGGG
rnacentral:rRNA from 1 species